rnacentral:rRNA from 1 species
AGAGUUUGAUCAUGGCUCAGGACGAACGCUGACGGUGUGCUUUAGGCAUGCAAGUCGAACGAGAAAGCCCUUCGGGGUGAGUAAAGUGGCGAACGGGUGAGUAACACGUGGGCAACCUGCCCCUCGCAGGGGGACAACCGGAGGAAACUCCGGCUAAUACCCCGUACGCUUGUUGGAUCGCAUGGUCCGGCAAGGAAAGGUAGCUUCGGCCAUCCGGCGAGGGAUGGGCCCGCGUUGCAUUAGCUAGUUGGUGGGGUAACGGCCCACCAAGGCGACGAUGCGUAGCUGGUCUGAGAGGAUGAUCAGCCACACUGGGACUGAGACACGGCCCAGACUCCUACGGGAGGCAGCAGCCAGGAAUCUCGGGCAAUGGGCGAAAGCCUGACCCAGCAACACCGUGUGGGUGACGAAGGCCUUAGGGUCGUAAAGCCCUGUUGAUAGGGACGAAGGGCGAAGGGUUAAUAGCCCCUAGCUUGACGGUACCUUUCGAGGAAGCCCCGGCUAACUACGUGCCAGCAGCCGCGGUAAUACGUAGGGGGCGAGCGUUGUCCGGAAUUAUUGGGCGUAAAGAGCGUGUAGGCGGUUCGGUAAGUCUGCUGUGAAAUCCUGGGGCUCAACCCUGGGCGUGCAGCGGAUACUGCCGGGCUAGAGGGUGGUAGAGGCGAGUGGAAUUCCGAGUGUAGCGGUGAAAUGCGCAGAUAUUCGGAGGAACACCAGUAGCGAAGGCGGCUCGCUGGGCCACACCUGACGCUGAGACGCGAAAGCGUGGGGAGCGAACAGGAUUAGAUACCCCAGUAGUCC